ensembl:lncRNA
GGAGGAGGGGGAGAAGAAGACAGAUGAGGCGGGUUGGGAACGCUGCCAGCAGAGUGAAGGGAGGCGAGGAGGGGGAGGAGGAAGAACUCCCACUGCAGCCGCUGCUGAGGCUCCAAGAGGUUUACACUCUCCCUGCCCUCACAACCACCUCCCUGUCUUGCCACUUUGUUGCAACUCCGACAACCUUCCCAUCCCCAAGGAGAAGAAUGAUGGCUUUAUGGAGAAAGAGAAAAAGAAUGAACAUGAAAGAGGAACUGGUCAGGAGAAAAAGACAGAGAACACUUGUUUUGGCUCACAGACAGAACAACAACAAAGGUUUUUCCCCCCAUCCAGAGGCCUGUUUCAGGGAAACACCUCCACCCUUAUGUCCAGCCCAGGCCUCACAGGUUCGAAUCUGAAUAUGGAGAUAAGUCGGCGGCGUAUCUUCAGCCUUGAGCCUUUCCAUCAGAGCAGCAUCAUAAACAGCCGGCUGAAGAGAGGGAGGGAGGAGGACAGAGAGGAGGAGAUGGAGGUGGAGGAGGGGACGGAAAAUCUGAGCAAGAAAGCCAAAUUCACAAAUGAGUCAUCUCUGGAAGACGUGAAGAAGCUGAAGGUCUGCAUCGAGUUGAAUGGCCUUCGGCUCAACAAGCCCCGCCUACCCGGGGAGUUCAACCAAUGGCUUCCCACUGGUCAGAGAUCAGCAGAGGCCAACAGGAAGUUCAGAACAGAUGUCCCAUCCAUCAGGGCGAGGUCAGACAUCAGCG